CCAUAAUCAUAAUCAUAAUCAUAAUCGAAAAUCGACUCGUGUUCUGAUUGGCGGAUACAGAAACCCAGCAGCCAAUCAGAACGCAGGAAUGUCACGGAAAAUUUCACGGGACGGACUUUCGAAAUUAUAAUAUAGAUGAUACGGUACUUAAUAUUUUUGUGGCCUCCUUUAACUGCAAUAAGGGCUUGAAUUAUUUUGAUAAUUGACUUCACCAGGCCUUUAAUGCAUAGCAAAAUGAAUCCCAGAAAAUCAUAAAGUUUGUCCCCUUCAACAAAAAGAUCAAUUAAGUCCCACCAAACUAAUAGUUCUGUUUAGUGCCAGACAUUAAAGAAAGAAAAAGUUUGAAGAACGUAUAUACAGGUCUUUUUCUCAACUGACUUGGCUCUCUUGAUUUCUAUAUUUGAAUUUUUAAAUCAUUUAUACACUGGAUACCUCCGCUUCCAUAGAAUUUGGUGGUUUGACAACAAACUGAAUUUUGUGCUUGGAUGUCACAAACUCUAACUAUCUAUUAAUUUAUUGAUAAAUAAUCCUGUUUUAUAAAUAAUCUCACUUUUGUCAGAUAUUAUUCUGCAAUUUUACCAAUGCAAUUUAUGUACAUAGGUUUACUGGGUAAUGAACAUAAAAUGAAGUGAUUCAACCCAUAGUCGUAUGACGUAGGAAUCUUGCCCACUAAUUGCCUUAUUUAAACUCAUGCACGUUUUAGUUGUCAUGUUGACAAAAUUAAAGAAAACAAGUUUCUCAGAAAAUACACCUUCUUCAGACACACUUUCAAGUCGAAUACAUGUGUAAGCACAAACCUACAUAUUCACUUUUCCAAGAAAUGCAACACGUUUGCCUUUCCAAGUAAACCAUUAAAUGCCUUUUCCAACAAAAAAAAUUUACUAUAUUAAGAAGUUCCUUCUAAAUUCAAUCUUCACUUGUUUGUCUGCAGCCUUCUCGGGUAAAUAAACUAAAACUGCCACCAUCACCAUCCAGUCACACCUCAGAGAGUUUAAUAUUCACCACAAUGGUCCGCAUAUCAGUCAUUGGUCUUUUCUUCGUCUACUUUUUUAUCGGGAAGGCUUCCGGGGCGUGCGAAUGGUUUCCGGGAGAAGAAGUUGUGAAUUGCGAGGAAGGAGGGGAUGGACGGCUUGCUUUCCAAAGUGAUGGAAACCUCGUCAUUUAUGACGGUAAGGGAACAUCCAUUUGGGCCUCAGACACUAGACCCUGCGGCCGGCGUGCAAUUUUUCAAAAGGAUGGAAAUCUCGUUGUCUUCAAUAGAGGUGGAAAAAUCGUCUACUCCACCGCAACUACAGGAUUGGGGAACCGGAUGACAUUCUCUCAAGGAAAGUUGACCAUUUACGACACGGCGUAUCAAACUGCCUGGACAAGUAGUGAUUUUUGGAGAAAGAAGGGAUGUUGUGAUGCCAAUUAUCUCAGCGAUGUUCAAGAAUGCACGGGAGGAGGUCCAGUUGGCAGAAAGUAAAUAAAUUAGAUCGGCUAAUUUUAACAAAGAGAUCUUACUUAGGUAGUGUCAAUAUAAUAAACAUAAUGCAAAAUAGCUAUCAA